UGCCAGCAGCCGCGGUAAUACAUAGGGGUCAAGCGUUGUCCGGAUUUAUUGGGCGUAAAGAGCUCGUAGGCGGUUCAACAAGUUGGUCGUGAAAACUCAAGGCUCAACCUUGAGACGUCACUCGAUACUGCUGUGACUUGAGUCCGGUAGAGGAGUGUGGAAUUCCUGGUGUAGCGGUGAAAUGCGCAGAUAUCAGGAGGAACACCAGCGGCGAAGGCGGCACUCUGGGCCGGUACUGACGCUGAGGAGCGAAAGCAUGGGGAGCAAACAGGAUUAGAUA
rnacentral:rRNA from 1 species